AUGGCGACCGGCGCACGGGUGAGUAACACGUAUCCAACCUGCCGAUGACUCGGGAUAGCCUUUCGAAAGAAAGAUUAAUACCCGAUGGCAUAGUUCUUCCGCAUGGUAGAACUAUUAAAGAAUUUCGGUCAUCGAUGGGGAUGCGUUCCAUUAGCUUGUUGGCGGGUAACGGCCCACCAAGGCAUCGAUGGAUAGGGGUUCUGAGAGGAAGGUCCCCCACAUUGGAACUGAGACACGGUCCAAACUCCUACGGAAGGCAGCAG
rnacentral:rRNA from 1 species